rnacentral:rRNA from 1 species
CCUACGGGGGGCAGCAGUGGGGAAUAUUGGACAAUGGGCGCAAGCCUGAUCCAGCCAUGCCGCGUGUGUGAAGAAGGCCUUCGGGUUGUAAAGCACUUUUGUUGGGGAAGAAAAGCAGUCAAUUAAUACCUGAUUGUUCUGACGGUACCCAAAGAAUAAGCACCGGCUAACUUCGUGCCAGCAGCCGCGGUAAUACGAAGGGUGCAAGCGUUACUCGGAAUUACUGGGCGUAAAGCGUGCGUAGGUGGUUUGUUAAGUCAGAUGUGAAAGCCCCGGGCUCAACCUGGGAAUUGCAUUUGAUACUGGCGAACUAGAGUGAGGUAGAGGAGAGUGGAAUUCCCGGUGUAGCAGUGAAAUGCGUAGAGAUCGGGAGGAACAUCAGUUGCGAAGGCGGCUCUCUGGACCAUCACUGACACUGAGGCACGAAAGCGUGGGGAGCAAACAGGAUUAGAUACCCCAGUAGUC